rnacentral:tRNA from 1 species
GCUCAGUUGGUAGAGCAUCUGACUUUUAAUCAGAGGGUCGCUGGUUCGAACCCAGCACGGCUCA